UUACCCAAGGAGGGUUAAUAACCUCAGAGUGUGCAGGGACAGGGACCCUGUAGUGACAGGGACACUCACCUGGCCACCAGAAAUAGUCACUGCUAAAUAGUCCUGGACACCUGGAUUUACCUUCAUUAAUUAAUUUCUCUUCUAAUGGAAUUCUUACAGCUACGAUCAGCACAACCAUUCCCAGGCUUGCUGGGACUUUCACUCUUCCAAAGCCUUGAAAUGGAAAGUCCCUAAAUUCUCCUUUAAGCCAGAAGAACAAAAACUCCAAGAAGGCUCCAUUUAAUGCUGCUUUUAUUCAAACACAAACCGAGGUCACUUUGGACACAGAGAAUACUCAGAUCCACUGGGCAAAGGAGGAUUUUAGUCAGGGGGCUUGAAUGCAAACCACACUGAAAACUUGGGAAAUCAGAUCCCACCCCUGGCUGGGAAGCAGAGACCUCAACCAGCUCCUGACUGACAGAGGAGAAGCUGCUCCAGCUCUGGAGGCUCCUCUGGGAACUGGAGCUCUCCAGCUUCUUUGGAAUGCUAGGGAAAAGGGAGGGGAGAUUCAGGGAGAAAUAAAUAAAAAGGAAAUCAUAAAGCUGAAGAGUUUCAAAUCUGCUGGAGCAGUGGGACAGCACUUGGCAGGGAAUUCCUGUGCUCAGGAACACCAGUGUCACUGCGGUGGUGGGGAAGAAAUACAUUCUGGGGAUCAGCUUUCCAAAUCAUAUUAAAUUCCUGGACACAUUUCCCCUCAAGGGGUGGAACAGAGGCACAGGAGCCAUGGAGCUCUCCAAGGAAAAUCCAGGGCUAUCACAGCCUUGUGGGAUCAACUCUUGUGCUGGGAAUCCUGCAUUUGGGAAAAUCAGGAAGAAGCAGAAGCUGAUUUGGGGCAAAACUGUAUUUAGGAAAAGCAGGAAGAACCAGGAGAUGUUUUAAGGCAAACCUCAGGGUCCAGCUGAUGGCUGACCAUUGAACACUGGACUCCUUUUUAUUCUUUUUUUUGGCUUCACUGAAAGCAGGGGAGUGUCCUGUUCUUGCUGGGGAAGGGACAA